GACGAACGCUGGCGGCGUGCUUAACACAUGCAAGUCGAACGGAAAGGCCCUGCUUGUGUGGGGUGCUCGAGUGGCGAACGGGUGAGUAACACGUGAGUAACCUGCCCUUGACUUUGGGAUAACUUCAGGAAACUGGGGCUAAUACCGGAUAGGAGCUCCUGCUGCAUGGUGGGGGUUGGAAAGUUUCGGCGGGUGGGGAUGGACUCGCGGCUUAUCAGCUUGUUGGUGGGGUAGUGGCUUACCAAGGCUUUGACGGGUAGCCGGCCUGAGAGGGUGACCGGCCACAUUGGGACUGAGAUACGGCCCAGACUCCUACGGGAGGCAGCAGUGGGGAAUAUUGCACAAUGGGCGGAAGCCUGAUGCAGCAACGCCGCGUGCGGGAUGACAGCCUUCGGGUUGUAAACCGCUUUCGCCUGUGACGAAGCGUGAGUGACGGUAAUGGGUAAAGAAGCACCGGCUAACUACGUG
rnacentral:rRNA from 1 species